GACGAACGCUGGCGGCGUGCUUAACACAUGCAAGUCGAACGGUAAGGCCCUUCGGGGUACACGAGUGGCGAACGGGUGAGUAACACGUGGGUGAUCUGCCCUGCACUUCGGGAUAAGCCUGGGAAACUGGGUCUAAUACCGGAUAGGACCCUGGGAUGCAUGUCCUGGGGUGGGAAGCUUUUGCGGUGUGGGAUGGGCCCGCGGCCUAUCAGCUUGGUGGUGGGGUGGUGGCCUACCAAGGCGACGACGGGUAGCCGGCCUGAGAGGGUGACCGGCCACACUGGGACUGAGAUACGGCCCAGACUCCUACGGGAGGCAGCAGUGGGGAAUAUUGCACAAUGGGCGCAAGCCUGAUGCAGCGACGCCGCGUGAGGGAUGACGGGCUUCGGGUUGUAAACCUCUUUCAGCACCGACGAAGCGCAAGUGACGGUAGGUGCAGAAGAAGGACCGGCCAACUACGUGCCAGCAGCCGCAGUAA
rnacentral:rRNA from 1 species